rnacentral:lncRNA from 1 species
GAUGGCAGUGAAUGUAUACUUAACGUCAGUGACCAGUGAUAACCUAAGUCAUCAUGACGUGCUGGCCUGGAUCAAUGAGUCUCUGCAGUUGAAUCUGACAAAGAUCAAACAGUUGUUCUCAAUAUCCAUAAACUGGAUAUUGUCAGUUUAUGGACAUGCUGUUCCCUGGCUCCAUUGACUUGAAGAAAGUAAAAUUCCAGGCUAAGCUAGAACAUGAGUGCAUCCAGAACUUCAAAAUACUACAAGCAGGUUUUAAGAAGCUGGGUGUUGACAAAAUAAUUCCUGUCGACAAAUCAGUAAAAGGAAAGUUUCAGGACAAUUUUGAAUUUGUUCAGUGGUUCAAGAAGUUUUUUGAUGCAAACUAUGAUGGAAAAAUCUAUGACCCUGUGGCUGCCAGACAAGGUCAAGAAAUUGCAGUGGCUCACUCCCUCCUUGCUCCAGCUCCGAAUAAACCCAAGUUCUAGCAAUGCAACUCCCCAGAUGCCCAUCUCAACACAGAGAACUGCUGUGGCUCCUAAGACUGGCCCUGGCGUGGUGUGAAAGAACCCUGGUGUGGGCAAUGGGAAUGACGAGGCAGCUGAGUUGAUGCGGCAGGUCAACGUAUUGAAAUUUACUGUUGAAAACUUGGAGAAAGAAGGAUUUCUACUUCGGAAAGCUACGGAACAUUGAAUUGAUUUGCCAGGAGAAUGAGGGGGAAAACAACCCUGUAUUGCAGAGGACUGUAGACAUUCUGUAUGCCACAGAUGAAGGCUUUGUGAUACCUGAUGAAGGCGGCACACAGGAGGAACAAAAAGAGUAU